rnacentral:rRNA from 1 species
AUCAAUAAGCGGAGGAAAAGAAAAUAACAAUGAUUUCCCUAGUAACGGCGAGUGAACAGGAAAAAGCUCAAAGUUGGAACCUGUUUGGCCUAGCUAAACCGGAUUGUAAACUGUAGAAGUGUUUUCCAGGCAAGCCGGACCGAUAAGUCCUUUGGAACAGGGCAUCAUAGAGGGUGAGAAUCCCGUCUUCGGUCUGAGCAUUUGCCUUUUGCGAUACACUUUCAAAGAGUCAGGUUGUUUGGGAAUGCAGCCUAAAUUGGGUGGUAAAUCUCACCUAAAGCUAAAUAUUGGCGAGAAACCGAUAGCGAACAAGUACCGUGAGGGAAAGAUGAAAAGAACUUUGAAAAGAGAGUUAAACAGUAUGUGAAAUUGUUAAAAGGGAACCGUUUGGAGCCAGACUGGCUUGUCUGUAAUCAGUCUAAGUUUCGGCUUGGAUGCACUUGCAGGCUAUGCCUGCCAACGACAAUUUGGCUUGAGGGAAAAAACUAGGGGAAAUGUGGCCCAUUCGUGGGUGUUAUAGUCCCUUAGAAAAUACCUUGGGCUGGAUUGAGGUACGCAGCGAAUGCUAUUUGGCGAGUUGGCUGGGAAUAUUUUCUGAGGUGCUCUGGUACUGAGGUUGAUAUUCCUAGUUACACUUCUAUUCGCUUAGGUUGUUGGCUUAAUGACUCUAAAUGAC